GGAGUUAGCCGGUGCUUCUUCUGUGAGUGAUGUCCUUCCUGCCGGCUAUUAACCCGCAGGCCUUCUUCCUCACUGAAAGUGCUUUACAACCCGAAGGCCUUCUUCACACACGCGGCAUGGCUGGAUCAGGGUUGCCCCCAUUGUCCAAUAUUCCCCACUGCUGCCUCCCGUAGGAGUCUGGGCCGUGUCUCAGUCCCAGUGUGGCUGAUCAUCCUCUCAGACCAGCUACGGAUCGUCGCCUUGGUGAGCCGUUACCUCACCAACCAGCUAAUCCGACAUAGGCUCAUCCGAUAGCGCGAGGCCCGAAGGUCCCCCGCUUUCCCCCGUAGGGCGUAUGCGGUAUUAGCCUGGGUUUCCCCAGGUUAUCCCCCACUACCGGACAGAUUCCUAUGCAUUACUCACCCGUCCGCCGCUCGCCACCAGGGAGCAAGCUCCCCGUGCUGCCGCUCGACUUGCAUGUGUUAGGCCUGCCGCCAGCGUUCAAUCUGAGCCAGGAUCAAACUCUGA
rnacentral:rRNA from 1 species